rnacentral:rRNA from 1 species
UACGUAGGGGGCAAGCGUUGUCCGGAUUUAUUGGGCGUAAAGCGCGUGUAGGCGGCCAGAUAGGUCUGCUGUGAAAACUCGAGGCUCAACCUCGAGCUGUCGGCGGAAACCAUCUGGCUAGAGUCCGGAAGAGGAGAGUGGAAUCCUGGUGUAGCGGUGAAAUGCGCAGAUAUCAGGAAGAACACCUAUGCGAAGGCAGCUCUCUGGGGAAGCG